CAUGUGAACCAAACGCCUUCCUCUGCUCCUGCUCCAUCUCCUUACCACCACGGCCACCACCACCCACAUCCUCCCCAUCACCACCACCCUCACCCUCACCCACCGGCAAAAGCCCCUGUCAAGCCGCCGGUUUCUCCACCUUCUAAACCUCCGGUUAAGCCUCCAGUUUACCCCCCAACCAAAUCCCCGGUUAAGCCCCCAACUAAACCUCCGGUUAAGCCACCAGUUUCCCCACCAGCAAAACCUCCUGUUAAACCUCCGGUUUACCCUCCGACCAAAGCUCCAGUUAAGCCCCCAGUCAAACCUCCGGUUAAGCCACCAGUUUCACCACCGGCCAAACCUCCAAUAAAGCCACCAGUUUCACCACCGGCCAAACCUCCGGUUAAGCCCCCGGUUUACCCUCCGACCAAAGCCCCUGUUAAGCCCCCGACCAAAGCCCCGGCUAAGCCUCCGGUCUCUCCUCCAGCCAAACCACCAGUAUCCCCUCCAGCUAAGCCACCGGUGAAGCCACCGGUUUACCCGCCAAAAUUCAACAGAAGCC
rnacentral:lncRNA from 1 species